rnacentral:rRNA from 1 species
UACGUAGGGGGCUAGCGUUGUCCGGAAUUAUUGGGCGUAAAGAGCGUGUAGGCGGUUCGAUAAGUUUGCUGUAAAAGUCGGGGGCUCAACCCCCGAAAGCCGGUGAAUACUGUCGGACUAGAGUACGGAAGAGGCGAGUGGAAUUCCUGGUGUAGCGGUGAAAUGCGCAGAUAUCAGGAGGAACACCAAUUGCGAAGGCAGCUCGCUGGGACGUUACUGACGCUGAGACGCGAAAGCGUGGGGAGCAAACAGG